UGGCCGGUGACUGGUGCUCCUGAGGGGGCGG
rnacentral:sRNA from 1 species